rnacentral:misc_RNA from 1 species
GAUGAAGAACGUAGCGAAAUGCGAUACUUGGUGUGAAUUGCAGAAUCCCGUGAACCAUCGAGUCUUUGAACGCAAGUUGCGCCCGAAGCCAUCAGGUUGAGGGCACGUCUGCCUGGGCGUCACAUAUCGUUGCCCAAUGCCUAUUGCAGUGCCAUAGGAAUUUCUAGGGCGAAUGAUGGCUUCCCGUGAGCGUUGUUGCCUCGCGGUUGGUUGAAAAUCGAGUCCUUGGUAGGGUGUGCCAUGGUAGAUGGUGGUCGAGUUAGAACGAUACCGAUCAUGUGCAUGCUCCCCAAAAUAUGGCCUCUAUGACCCACACGCGUCUUUUGACGCUCAUGACGAGACCUCAGGUCAGGCGGGGCUACCCGCUGAAUUUAAGCAUAUCAAUAAGCGGAGGA